GCGAUGGUAGCUCAGUCGGAGGAGUGCCCGCUUCUCACGCAAGAGACGCGGGUUCGGAUCCCGGCGCUGACAUGUA
rnacentral:tRNA from 1 species